GACGUAGGGUGCGAGCGUUGUCCAGAGUUACUGGGCGUAAAGGGCGCGUAGGCGGUUGUCCGCGUCGCACGUGAAAGCCCCCGGCUCAACCGGGGAGGGUCGUGCGAAACGGGGCGACUGGAGGCAGGGAGAGGCUGGUGGAAUUCCCGGAGUAGCAGUGAAAUGCGUAGAGAUCGUAAGGAAGACCAGUGGCGAAGGCGGGUCUCUGGACAGUUCCUGACACUGAGGCACGAAGGCCAGGGGAGCAAACGGG
rnacentral:rRNA from 1 species